GUCCUGAUACAGACCAACCGGCCCCCCCUCCUGUUUUGAUGAAUGGGGAGGAGGAGUUCGAGGUUGAGGACAUUUUGGAUUCUCGCUUUCACCGCCGCCGCCUACAAUAUCUCAUUGACUGGGUGGGUUUUGGCCCUGAAGAACGCUCUUGGGAAGACGCCUCCACAGUCCAUGCUCCUGAUCUAACCCGUCGCUUUCAUCAGACCUAUCCCGCCAAGCCGCGACCUCGCGCCUCGGGGAGAGGGCCCCAGUUUGGGAGGGGCCUUGAGGAGGGGGAUAGUGUGAUGACUCAUGGGCCUUGUAGUCCUGCUCAGGACAUUGUAAUUCCUGAUGAAGAUGAAAACUUGGGUUUUUUACCUUCCCAGUCUGAACUGGAUUCCUCUCAGCCAGAUCUUUCCCAGGCAGAUCUGGGAACCUUGCACCUGCAAGAAAGUUGUCUCCCAGAAGUAUGUCAAACAAGCCCAGAGCCUACUUCUCCCGUAUUCUUGCGCCGGGAGUUUUGUAAACAACAGAGAAGUUUAGAUUCAGCUUCGCGCAGGAGUGCGAGGAUUGCAGCUAAGAAUGUGGCCAAUUAAGACUGCUUCUCGUGAGAAUCUUUGGGGAGUCUCACAUCUGGUCUCAGAGUUAGCUUUCGGUUCUGAUUCCCAGAGAACUGCUUCGGCGGGAAGCUAGACUCUAUUUAGGUGUUUUACCCGCGUAGUAACUUCGCGGAGUCAAUUCGUCAGCCUACGGAGCGAGUUGUGUCUGGACAGCGCGCUCCGGUUCAAGCCUCGCUCCUGCUCAAGCCUUGCCUUGCUAUCCAGCCUUCGCCUUGCUUCCCAGCCUUUGUUUAUCUACGGACUUUGCCUAGUUUCCCAGGAUCAAUCCUUGCCUUGUUCCACGGAUUUAUCAAGUUAUUCCACGGACCUUGUUCUUGUUCUUAGUUACCUUGUUCCACGUUCAAGCCUUGUUUCAAGUAUCAAGUUAUUUCCUAGCCUCGCUCAAGUUUCAUGGACUAAAGGACCUUGUCAUCUCCCCUCACUUUGCUUGGCAAAGUGAGUGUUUCGGUUAUUGGAUUACAACUUUGGACCUUAAUAUUUCUUAUUGGACUUUGCUUUUUUGGACUAAUUCUGACCUUUCCUGAAAGGUCUAAUUCUGGACUAUUUUCUACACUUGUUUUUAUUAACUUUAUAUAUUCCUACAAUAAAGAUAUUAGAUAGAUUCUGGCCUCUGUGUAUGGUUAUUGGUGCUCUGCAGCCUGGGUCGUGACAGGAAGAGAUGGUUAGCUCAGAGGAGUAUGAUAUGGAAUGGACUCGUGUGAGGGAGGAUUUGGGUGCCACUGGCAAUGAUAGUAUGGGAGGCGACUGGGGAGUUGCAGGAUUAGACCCGUGGACGAGCUGGAGGGAUGGGACGGGAUCCACAGCUGGGGAUGCUGUGGGGCGUAGUCAAAGGUGUUUUAGCUCUGAUGAGGAAGAUGAUGAUGAGGCACCUGGAAUUAGGGUAACAGCUGACAGCGAUGAGGAGUUGUAAACUGGCAUAAAAUGAGGUUUAGAAUCCAGGGCUAAUUGCGUUGGGCAAGGUAAUCUGGACGAACACUUGGGCUCUUGUUGGGAAUUUCCUGAAGACGGGUGUGAUUCGUUUGCUGAAUACCUUGGACCUCCGUCGUCUUUUUGACGGACAUUAAUUGCCUACUCUGGAUUGACGCUGGACUGACUGACUGACUGACUACGACCUCGGACUAUCCCUUCUGUGAUUAUCGGUGGAACUGGUGAACUAAAGACGUCUGUACCUGGCCUUCGACCUUGGACCGGAUUGGGACCCCGCUGACUGCUUCUGCCCUGAUUGAUGUGUUUGGACCCGGAGUUCGCUUGCUGCACGGAGGAGUAACAACUUAGUUAAUCAACCACAGCUGUUGAGUAGCAGAGAGUAAUCUGCUGCCAGUUGUUUACGUUUCAUUGAAUCUUAGUUUACCAGUUUUUGUUUGUUUUAAGAGCCAGGCUGAAGUAAGCAUUUUUGGUUUAACCCGGAUUAAACUCCCGUUUAAUCCGGUUUAUCUUUUGAACUGUUUUUUAGUGUCUUUUCAUAUUGAAGGCGAGUCUUUGCCUAGCCCUUUGUCUUUUACGGGCAUUUUUGGUUCUGUAUCCUUAAUAAACUGUGCUGAAUCUUA